rnacentral:rRNA from 1 species
GACGAACGCUGGCGGCGUGCUUAACACAUGCCAGUCGUACGGUAAGGCCCUUUCGGGGGUACACGAGUGGCGAACGGGUGAGUAACACGUGAGUAACCUGCCCACAACUUUGGGAUAACGCUAGGAAACUGGUGCUAAUACUGGAUAUGUGCUCCUGCUGCAUGGUGGGGGUUGGAAAGCUCCGGCGGUUGUGGAUGGACUCGCGGCCUAUCAGCUUGUUGGUGGGGUAGUGGCCUACCAAGGCGGCGACGGGUAGCCGGCCUGAGAGGGUGACCGGCCACAUUGGGACUGAGAUACGGCCCAGACUCCUACGGGAGGCAGCAGUGGGGAAUAUUGCACAAUGGGCGCAAGCCUGAUGCAGCAACGCCGCGUGCGGGAUGACGGCCUUCGGGUUGUAAACCGCUUUCAGCAGGGACGAAGCUUUUUGUGACGGUACCUGCAGAAGAAGCACCGGCUAACUACGU